AGAAUAUAGUUAAUUUUUAAUAUUUGGGUUGCAUCCAAAAGAAGCUCAAGCUUUUCUU
rnacentral:tRNA from 1 species